rnacentral:rRNA from 1 species
CCGACGGUGAGGGACGAAAGCUGGGGGAGCAAACCGGAUUAGAUACCCGGGUAGUCCCAGCCGUAAACGAUGUGCGUUAGGUGUAUCGGUGACCACGAGUCACCGAGGUGCCGAAGAGAAAUCGUGAAACGUACCGCCUGGGAAGUACGGUCGCAAGGCUGAAACUUAAAGGAAUUGGCGGGGGAGCACCACAACAGGUGGAGCCUGCGGUUUAAUCGGACUCAACGCCGGGAAACUCACCAGAUAAGACAGCUGAAUGAUAGUCGGGCUGAAGACUCUACUUGACUAGCUGAGAGGAGGUGCAUGGCCGCCGUCAGUUCGUACUGUGAAGCAUCCUGUUAAGUCAGGCAACGAGCGAGACCCACGCCAACAGUUGCU